AGCGAAAGCGAGUCCUAAUAGGGCGAUUUAGUUACUGGGUGUAGACCCGAAACCAAGUGAUCUAUCCAUGGCCAGGAUGAAGGUGCGGUAACACGUACUGGAGGUCCGAACCCACAAAUGUUGAAAAAUUUGGGGAUGAGCUGUGGAUCGGAGUGAAAGGCUAAUCAAGCUCGGAGAUAGCUGGUUCUCCUCGAAAGCUAUUUAGGUAGCGCCUCGGACGAACACCAUGGGGGGUAGAGCACUGUUAAGGCUAGGGGGUCAUCCCGACUUACCAACCCUUUGCAAACUCCGAAUACCCAUGAGUGCUAUCCGGGAGACACACGGCGGGUGCUAACGUCCGUCGUGAAGAGGGAAACAACCCAGACCGCCAGCUAAGGUCCCAAAAUAUUGCUAAGUGGGAAACGAUGUGGGAAGGCUAAGACAGCUAGGAGGUUGGCUUAGAAGCAGCCAUCCUUUAAAGAAAGCGUAACAGCUCACUGAUCAAGCGCCUCUGCGCGGAAAAUGUAUCGGGACUAAAGUUAUUCGCCGAAAUUGCGGACUCGAAAGAGUGGUAGCGGAGCGUUCCGUAAGCCUGUGAAGGUGAACCGUGAGGUUUGCUGGAGGUAUCGGAAGUGAGAAUGCUGACAUGAGUAGCGACAAACAGGGUGAGAGACCCUGUCGCCGAAAGACCAAGGGUUCCUGCGUAAAGCUAAUCUGCGCAGGGUUAGCCGGCCCCUAAGGCAAGGCCGAAAGGCGUAGUCGAUGGGAACCACGUUAAUAUUCGUGGGCCAAGGGAUGAGUGACGGAUUUCGAAAGUUGUAUUCCCUUAUUGGAUUGGGAAUGCAGCCUGGAAGUUCCUGGAAAUAGCCUCCCUAUUAGACCGUACCCGAAACCGACACAGGUGGUCAGGUAGAGAAUACUAAGGCGCUUGAGAGAACUCGGGUGAAGGAACUCGGCAAAAUUGUACCGUAACUUCGGGAGAAGGUACGCUGCUGUUUGUGAUGGGAUUUACUCCCUAAGCGAAUGGCAGCCGCAGUGACCAGGUGGCUGGGACUGUUUAUUAAAAACACAGCACUGUGCUAAAUCGAAAGAUGACGUAUACGGUGUGACACCUGCCCGGUGCCGGAAGGUUAAUUGAUGGGGUUAGCGUAAGCGAAGCUCUUGAUCGAAGCCCCGGUAAACGGCGGCCGUAACAAUAACGGUCCUAAGGUAGCGAAAUUCCUUGUCGGGUA
rnacentral:rRNA from 9 species